rnacentral:rRNA from 1 species
AGUGAACGCUGGCGGUAGGCCAACACAUGCAAGUCGAACGGCAGCACCGUAAGAGCUUGCUCUUACGGGUGGCGAGUGGCGGACGGGUGAGGAAUACAUCGGAAUCUACUUUUUCGUGGGGGAUAACGUAGGGAAACUUACGCUAAUACCGCAUACGACCUACGGGUGAAAGCAGGGGAUCUUCGGACCUUGCGCGAUUGAAUGAGCCGAUGUCGGAUUAGCUAGUUGGCGGGGUAAAGGCCCACCAAGGCGACGAUCCGUAGCUGGUCUGAGAGGAUGAUCAGCCACACUGGAACUGAGACACGGUCCAGACUCCUACGGGAGGCAGCAGUGGGGAAUAUUGGACAAUGGGCGCAAGCCUGAUCCAGCCAUACCGCGUGGGUGAAGAAGGCCUUCGGGUUGUAAAGCCCUUUUGUUGGGAAAGAAAAGCAGCAGGUUAAUACCCCGCUGUUCUGACGGUACCCAAAGAAUAAGCACCGGCUAACUUCGUG